rnacentral:rRNA from 1 species
UACAGAGGUCUCAAGCGUUUGUUCGGGAUCAUUGGGCGUAAAGGGUGCGUAGGUGGCGCCGUAAGUCGGUGUGAAAUUUCGGAGCUUAACUCCGAAACUGCAUUCGAUACUGCGGUGCUUGAGGACUGGAGAGGAGACUGGAAUUCAUGGUGUAGCAGUGAAAUGCGUAGAGAUCAUGAGGAAGACCAGUGGCGAAGGCGGGUCGUCUGGACAGUUCCUGACACUGAGGCACGAAGGCCAGGGGAGCAAACGGG